rnacentral:lncRNA from 1 species
AUGCUAGCAUCCUCCAGGCCACUCCAAGAAGAAGAAGUCUCCUCCAGCUGGAACCAAAGCCUGUUAGAACUGAAAGUACAGAUGGAAGUUGGAAAUCUUGGUCCUGCAGAAUCUAGAGCUUCAAAGUGGAAAACUUGUAUGCUCCUUCUUCAGAACAGAAGCAGCAGCAGCAACAACAACAACAAAACCCUCAAGAGUAAGUAUCUUCACACUGAAGUAAAUCUAUCAGCCAGCAUUGCCAUGUCUCUGCAUGGAGUGAUAUACAGAGCUGGCUCCAUUUCCUCCUCCUCCAGAUUGGAAUCUCAGCUGGAGACAGGAAGACAUGAGCUUUCUUAAAAUCCCCUCAGCAUCCCCUUUAUUACAAAGCUGGCAGCUGCUACUCUAUCAGUACUCACACAUUUUAAGGUAUCUUUUGAA